rnacentral:rRNA from 1 species
UACGUAGGGUGCAAGCGUUAAUCGGAAUUACUGGGCGUAAAGCGUGCGUAGGUGGCGUGUUAAGUGUGAUGUUAAAUCGCGGGGCUCAACCCUGUCGGUGCAUCGCAUACUGGCAUGCUAGAGGGAAGCAGAGGCAAGUGGAAUUGGUAGUGUAGCAGUGAAAUGCGUAGAUAUUACCAGGAACACCAAUGGCGAAGGCAGCUUGCUGGGCUUCUUCUGACACUGAGGUACGAAAGCGUGGGGAGCGAACAGG